AGUGAACGUUGGCGGUAGGCCUAACACAUGCAAGUCGAACGGCAGCACAGUAAGAGCUUGCUCUUACGGGUGGCGAGUGGCGGACGGGUGAGGAAUACAUCGGAAUCUACUUUUUCGUGGGGGAUAACGUGGGGAAACUUACGCUAAUACCGCAUACGACCUACGGGUGAAAGCAGGGGAUCUUCGGACCUUGCGCGAUUGAAUGAGCCGAUGUCGGAUUAGCUAGUUGGCGGGGUAAAGGCCCACCAAGGCGACGAUCCGUAGCUGGUCUGAGAGGAUGAUCAGCCACACUGGAACUGAGACACGGUCCAGACUCCUACGGGAGGCAGCAGUGGGGAAUAUUGGACAAUGGGCGCAAGCCUGAUCCAGCCAUACCGCGUGGGUGAAGAAGGCCUUCGGGUUGUAAAGCCCUUUUGUUGGGAAAGAAAAGCAGCAGGUUAAUACCCCGCUGUUCUGACGGUACCCAAAGAAUAAGCACCGGCUAACUUCGUG
rnacentral:rRNA from 1 species